rnacentral:rRNA from 1 species
CCUACGGGAGGCAGCAGUGGGGAAUAUUGCACAAUGGGGGAAACCCUGAUCCAGCGACGCCGCGUGAGUGAUGAAGUAUCUCGGUAUGGAAAGCUCUAUCAGCAGGGAAGAAAAUGACGGUACCUGAUUAUGAAGCCCCGGCUAACUACGUGCCAGCAGCCGCGGUAAUACGUAGGGUGCAAGCGUUAUCCGGAUUUACUGGGUGUAAAGGGAGCGUAGACGGCAGGACAAGUCUGGAGUGAAAUGCCGGGGCUUAACCCCGGAAUUGCUUUGGAAACUGUGCAGCUAGAGUGCAGGAGAGGUAAGUGGAAUUCGUAGUGUAGCGGUGAAAUGCGUAGAUAUUAGGAAGAACACCAGUGGCGAAGGCAGCUUACUGGACUGUAACUGACAUUGAGGCUCGAAAGCGUGGGGAGCAAACAGGAUUAGAUACCCUAGUAGUC